rnacentral:rRNA from 1 species
UACGGGGGGGGCAAGCGUUGUUCGGAAUUACUGGGCGUAAAGGGUUUGUAGGUGGCCAACUAAGUCAGACGUGAAAUCCCUCAGCUUAACUGGGGAACUGCGUCUGAGACUGGAUGGCUUGAGUGCAGGAGAGGAACGCGGAAUUCCAGGUGUAGCGGUGAAAUGCGUAGAUAUCUGGAGGAACACCGGUGGCGAAGGCGGCGUUCUGGACUGCAACUGACACUGAAAAACGAAAGCCAGGGGAGCAAGCAGG